rnacentral:rRNA from 1 species
AUUGAACGCUGGCGGCAGGCCUAACACAUGCAAGUCGAACGGUAACAGGAAGAAGCUUGCUUCUUUGCUGGCGAGUGGCGGACGGGUGAGUAAUGUCUGGGAAACUGCCUGAUGGAGGGGGAUAACUACUGGAAACGGUAGCUAAUACCGCAUAACGUCGCAAGACCAAAGAGGGGGACCUUCGGGCCUCUUGCCAUCGGAUGUGCCCAGAUGGGAUUAGCUAGUAGGUGGUGUAACGGCUCACCUAGGCGACGAUCCCUAGCUGGUCUGAGAGGAUGACCAGCCACACUGGAACUGAGACACGGUCCAGACUCCUACGGGAGGCAGCAGUGGGGAAUAUUGCACAAUGGGCGCAAGCCUGAUGCAGCCAUGCCGCGUGUAUGAAGAAGGCCUUCGGGUUGUAAAGUACUUUCAGCGGGGAGGAAGGGAGUAAAGUUAAUACCUUUGCUCAUUGACGUUACCCGCAGAAGAAGCACCGGCUAACUCCGUG